GGGUUGUGAGGUUAAGCGACUAAGCGUACACGGUGGAUGCCCUGGCAGUCAGAGGCGAUGAAGGACGUGCUAAUCUGCGAUAAGCGUCGGUAAGGUGAUAUGAACCGUUAUAACCGGCGAUUUCCGAAUGGGGAAACCCAGUGUGUUUCGACACACUAUCAUUAACUGAAUCCAUAGGUUAAUGAGGCGAACCGGGGGAACUGAAACAUCUAAGUACCCCGAGGAAAAGAAAUCAACCGAGAUUCCCCCAGUAGCGGCGAGCGAACGGGGAGCAGCCCAGAGCCUGAAUCAGUGUGUGUGUUAGUGGAAGCGUCUGGAAAGGCGCGCGAUACAGGGUGACAGCCCCGUACACAAAAAUGCACAUGCUGUGAGCUCGAUGAGUAGGGCGGGACACGUGGUAUCCUGUCUGAAUAUGGGGGGACCAUCCUCCAAGGCUAAAUACUCCUGACUGACCGAUAGUGAACCAGUACCGUGAGGGAAAGGCGAAAAGAACCCCGGCGAGGGGAGUGAAAAAGAACCUGAAACCGUGUACGUACAAGCAGUGGGAGCACGCUUAGGCGUGUGACUGCGUACCUUUUGUAUAAUGGGUCAGCGACUUAUAUUCUGUAGCAAGGUUAACCGAAUAGGGGAGCCGAAGGGAAACCGAGUCUUAACUGGGCGUUAAGUUGCAGGGUAUAGACCCGAAACCCGGUGAUCUAGCCAUGGGCAGGUUGAAGGUUGGGUAACACUAACUGGAGGACCGAACCGACUAAUGUUGAAAAAUUAGCGGAUGACUUGUGGCUGGGGGUGAAAGGCCAAUCAAACCGGGAGAUAGCUGGUUCUCCCCGAAAGCUAUUUAGGUAGCGCCUCGUGAAUUCAUCUCCGGGGGUAGAGCACUGUUUCGGCAAGGGGGUCAUCCCGACUUACCAACCCGAUGCAAACUGCGAAUACCGGAGAAUGUUAUCACGGGAGACACACGGCGGGUGCUAACGUCCGUCGUGAAGAGGGAAACAACCCAGACCGCCAGCUAAGGUCCCAAAGUCAUGGUUAAGUGGGAAACGAUGUGGGAAGGCCCAGACAGCCAGGAUGUUGGCUUAGAAGCAGCCAUCAUUUAAAGAAAGCGUAAUAGCUCACUGGUCGAGUCGGCCUGCGCGGAAGAUGUAACGGGGCUAAACCAUGCACCGAAGCUGCGGCAGCGACGCUGAUGCGUUGUUGGGUAGGGGAGCGUUCUGUAAGCCUGCGAAGGUGUGCUGUGAGGCAUGCUGGAGGUAUCAGAAGUGCGAAUGCUGACAUAAGUAACGAUAAAGCGGGUGAAAAGCCCGCUCGCCGGAAGACCAAGGGUUCCUGUCCAACGUUAAUCGGGGCAGGGUGAGUCGACCCCUAAGGCGAGGCCGAAAGGCGUAGUCGAUGGGAAACAGGUUAAUAUUCCUGUACUUGGUGUUACUGCGAAGGGGGGACGGAGAAGGCUAUGUUGGCCGGGCGACGGUUGUCCCGGUUUAAGCGUGUAGGCUGGUUUUCCAGGCAAAUCCGGAAAAUCAAGGCUGAGGCGUGAUGACGAGGCACUACGGUGCUGAAGCAACAAAUGCCCUGCUUCCAGGAAAAGCCUCUAAGCAUCAGGUAACAUCAAAUCGUACCCCAAACCGACACAGGUGGUCAGGUAGAGAAUACCAAGGCGCUUGAGAGAACUCGGGUGAAGGAACUAGGCAAAAUGGUGCCGUAACUUCGGGAGAAGGCACGCUGAUAUGUAGGUGAAGUCCCUCGCGGAUGGAGCUGAAAUCAGUCGAAGAUACCAGCUGGCUGCAACUGUUUAUUAAAAACACAGCACUGUGCAAACACGAAAGUGGACGUAUACGGUGUGACGCCUGCCCGGUGCCGGAAGGUUAAUUGAUGGGGUUAGCCGCAAGGCGAAGCUCUUGAUCGAAGCCCCGGUAAACGGCGGCCGUAACUAUAACGGUCCUAAGGUAGCGAAAUUCCUUGUCGGGUAAGUUCCGACCUGCACGAAUGGCGUAAUGAUGGCCAGGCUGUCUCCACCCGAGACUCAGUGAAAUUGAACUCGCUGUGAAGAUGCAGUGUACCCGCGGCAAGACGGAAAGACCCCGUGAACCUUUACUAUAGCUUGACACUGAACAUUGAGCCUUGAUGUGUAGGAUAGGUGGGAGGCUUUGAAGUGUGGACGCCAGUCUGCAUGGAGCCGACCUUGAAAUACCACCCUUUAAUGUUUGAUGUUCUAACGUUGACCCGUAAUCCGGGUUGCGGACAGUGUCUGGUGGGUAGUUUGACUGGGGCGGUCUCCUCCUAAAGAGUAACGGAGGAGCACGAAGGUUGGCUAAUCCUGGUCGGACAUCAGGAGGUUAGUGCAAUGGCAUAAGCCAGCUUGACUGCGAGCGUGACGGCGCGAGCAGGUGCGAAAGCAGGUCAUAGUGAUCCGGUGGUUCUGAAUGGAAGGGCCAUCGCUCAACGGAUAAAAGGUACUCCGGGGAUAACAGGCUGAUACCGCCCAAGAGUUCAUAUCGACGGCGGUGUUUGGCACCUCGAUGUCGGCUCAUCACAUCCUGGGGCUGAAGUAGGUCCCAAGGGUAUGGCUGUUCGCCAUUUAAAGUGGUACGCGAGCUGGGUUUAGAACGUCGUGAGACAGUUCGGUCCCUAUCUGCCGUGGGCGCUGGAGAACUGAGGGGGGCUGCUCCUAGUACGAGAGGACCGGAGUGGACGCAUCACUGGUGUUCGGGUUGUCAUGCCAAUGGCACUGCCCGGUAGCUAAAUGCGGAAGAGAUAAGUGCUGAAAGCAUCUAAGCACGAAACUUGCCCCGAGAUGAGUUCUCCCUGACCCUUUAAGGGUCCUGAAGGAACGUUGAAGACGACGACGUUGAUAGGCCGGGUGUGUAAGCGCAGCGAUGCGUUGAGCUAACCGGUACUAAUGAACCGUGAGGCUUAACCUUACAACGCCGAAGCUGUU
rnacentral:rRNA from 1 species